AAAAUAACCAUUUGCUUUGAAUUGGGAGCAUCUGGCCUUUGAAAAAACGCAAAGCAAAAAUGAAUGGCUCUUUCCAUAAAAGUCCUGCAAACAAAACACAGCCGACUUUCAGAGAGUAUGGCUAUGCACUAAUUGGAGAAGAGGUAAGAAUAAAAUAA
rnacentral:lncRNA from 11 species